rnacentral:rRNA from 1 species
UACGAAGGUGGCAAGCGUUGUUCGGAUUUACUGGGCGUAAAGAGUGCGUAGGCGGUUUGAUAAGUCAGGAGUGAAAUCCCAAGGCUCAACCUUGGAAUUGCUUUUGAAACUAUUUGACUAGAGUCCGGGAGAGGUUGGCGGAAUUCCGAGUGUAGAGGUGAAAUUCGCAGAUAUUCGGAGGAACACCAGUGGCGUAAGCGGCCAACUGGACCGGUACUGACGCUGAGGCACGAAAGCGUGGGGAGCAAACAGG